GGUGAAAUCCAUAGCUUAACUGUGGACUGGCCUUUGAUAAGGUUAUUCUUGAGUGCAUUUGAAUUGGGCGGAAUAUAGCAUUUAUCGGUGAAAUGCAUAGAUAUGCUAUAGAACACCGAUUGCGAAGGCAGCUCGCUAAGCUGUAACUGACGCUGAGGCACGAAAGCUUGGGUAGCAAACAGGAUUAGAUACCCUGGUAGUCCAGGCUGUAAACGAUGAACACUCGCUGUUGGCAAUACAUGGUCAGCGGCUGAGCGAAAGCGUUAAGUGUUCCACCUGGGAAGUACGAUCGCAAGGUUGAAACUCAAAGGAAUUGACGGGGGCCCGCACAAGCGGAGGAGCAUGUGGUUUAAUUCGAUGAUACGCGAGGAACCUUACCUGGGCUUAAAUGCAUAUUGACGUACUGUGAAAGCAGUAUUCCUUCGGGCAAUUUGCAAGGUGCUGCAUGGUUGUCGUCAGCUCGUGCCGUGAGGUGUCGGGUUAAGUCCCAUAACGAGCGCAACCCCUACUUCUAGUUACCAGCAUUACGGAUGGGGACUCUAGAGGAACUGCCUACGCAAGUAGAGAGGAAGGUGGGGAUGACGUCAAAUCAGCACGGCCCUUAUGUCCAGGGCUACACACGUGCUACAAUGGACGGUACAGAGGGCAGCUACACAGCGAUGUGGUGCUAAUCUCCAAAGCCGUUCACAGUCCGGAUUAGAGUCUGCAACUCGACUCUAUGAAGCUGGGUUCGCUAGUAAUCGCACAUCAGCCGUGGUGCGGUGAUACGUUCCCGGGCAUUGACACACCGCCCGUCAAGCCAUGGAAGUUGGAGGUACC
rnacentral:rRNA from 1 species